UACGUAGGGUGCGAGCGUUAAUCGGAAUUACUGGGCGUAAAGCGUGCGCAGGCGGUUCGUUGUGUCGGUGGUGAAAGCCCCGGGCUUAACCUGGGAAUGGCAUUUGGGACUGCAAGGCUUGAGUGCGGCAGAGGAGACUGGAAUUCCUGGUGUAGCAGUGAAAUGCGUAGAUAUCAGGAGGAAUACCGAUGGCGAAGGCAGAUCUCUGGGCCGUAACUGACGCUGAGGAGCGAAAGCGUGGGGAGCGAACAGG
rnacentral:rRNA from 1 species